rnacentral:rRNA from 1 species
GACGAACGCUGGCGGCGUGCUUAACACAUGCAAGUCGAACGGAAAGGCCCUGCUUUUGUGGGUUGCUCGAGUGGCGAACGGGUGAGUAACACGUGAGUAACCUGCCCUUGACUUUGUGAUAACUUCAGGAAACUGGGGCUAAUACCGGAUAGGAGCUCCUGCUGCAUGGUGUGGGUUGGAAAGUUUCGGCGGUUGGGGAUGGACUCGCUGCUUAUCAGCCUGUUGGUGGGGUAGUGGCUUACCCAGGCUUUGACGGGUAGCCGGCCUGAGAGGGUGACCGGCCACAUUGGGACUGAGAUACGGCGCAGACUCAUACGGGAGGCAGCAGUGGAGAAUAUUGCAGAAUGGGCGGACGCCUGAUGCAGAAACGCCGCGUGCGGGAUGCCGGCUUUCGGGGUGUAAACAGAUUUCGCAUGUGACGAAGAGUGAGUGACGGUAAUGGGUAAAGAAGCACCGGCUAACUACGUG